GAUGAACGCUGGCGGCGUGCUUAACACAUGCAAGUCGAACGGAAAGGCUCCUGCUUGCAGGGGUCCUCGAGUGGCGAACGGGUGAGUAACAAGUGGGUGAUCUGCCCAGCACUUCGGGAUAAGCCUGGGAAACUGGGUCUAAUACCGGAUAGGACGAUGGUUUGGAUGCCAUUGUGGAAAGUUUUUUCGGUGUGGGAGGAGCUCGCGGCCUAUCAGCGUGUUGGUGGGGUAAUGGCCUACUACGGCGUCGACGGGUAGCCGGCCUGGGAGGGGGUACCGCCACACCUGGAAAAUGGGAAGGCCCAGACGCGUCCGGGAGGAAGCAGUGGCGAGUGCCGACAAGUGGGAGGCAGCGUGCUUUGUCGCCUCAGAGGCCGGGAUGUCGGCGUUAGGGUGGGCACCCCCUGGGGCCAGGCAGGAAGCGAAAGGGACGGUACGUGGAGAAGAAGCACCGGCUAACUACGUG
rnacentral:rRNA from 1 species